AGAGUUUGAUCCUGGCUCAGGACGAACGCUGGCGGCGUGCUUAACACAUGCAAGUCAAGGGGGCCCAGCAAUGGGCAACCGGCGAACGGGUGCGUAACACGUGAGCAACCUACCGAACUGUGGGGGAUAGCCGGCCUAACGGCCGAGUAAUACUGCAUACGCUUUCAGUGAGGCAUUUCACUGAAAGGAAACCUACGGGACAGAUCGAGGGGCUCGCGGCCUAUCAGCUAGUUGGCGAGGUAACGGCUCACCAAGGCAACGACGGGUAGCUGGUCUGAGAGGAUGGCCAGCCACAUUGGGACUGAGAUACGGCCCAGACUCUUACGGGAGGCAGCAGUGGGGAAUCUUGCGCAAUGGCCUAACGGCUGACGCAGCGACGCCGCGUGUGGGAUGAAGCUCUUCGGAGUGUAAACCACUGUUGCCCGGGACGAAUAGCUCGAUUAAUUGAGCCUGACGGUACCGGGUGAGGAAGCACCGGCUAACUCCGUGCCAGCAGCCGCGGUAAUACGGGGGGUGCGAGCGUUGUCCGGAAUCACUGGGCGUAAAGGGCGCGUAGGUGGUUUGAUAAGGGUGUGGUGAAAGUCCGGGGCUCAACCCCGGAUCUGCCGUGCCGACUGUCAAACUCGAGGACUGUAGAGGCAGACGGAAUUCCGGGUGUAGCGGUGGAAUGCGUAGAGAUCCGGAGGAAGACCGGUGGCGAAGGCGGUCUGCUGGGCAGUUUCUGACACUGAGGCGCGACAGCGUGGGGAGCAAACAGGAUUAGAUACCCUGGUAGUCCACGCCGUAAACGAUGGGUACUAGGUGCCUGGGGGAGCGACCCUCUGGGUGCCGGCGCUAACGCAGGAAGUACCCCGCCUGGGGAGUACGACCGCAAGGUUGAAACUCAAAGGAAUUGACGG
rnacentral:rRNA from 1 species